rnacentral:rRNA from 1 species
CGUGCUUAACACAUGCAAGUCGAACGGUGAAGCCCAGCUUGCUGGGUGGAUCAGUGGCGAACGGGUGAGUAACACGUGAGCAACCUGCCCCUGACUCUGGGAUAAGCGCUGGAAACGGCGUCUAAUACUGGAUACGAGUAGCGACCGCAUGGUCAGUUACUGGAAAGAUUUAUUGGUUGGGGAUGGGCUCGCGGCCUAUCAGCUUGUUGGUGAGGUAAUGGCUCACCAAGGCGUCGACGGGUAGCCGGCCUGAGAGGGUGACCGGCCACACUGGGACUGAGACACGGCCCAGACUCCUACGGGAGGCAGCAGUGGGGAAUAUUGCACAAUGGGCGCAAGCCUGAUGCAGCAACGCCGCGUGAGGGAUGACGGCCUUCGGGUUGUAAACCUCUUUUAGCAGGGAAGAAGCGAAAGUGACGGUACCUGCAGAAAAAGCGCCGGCUAACUACGUGCCAGCAGCCGCGGUAAUACGUAGGGCGCAAGCGUUAUCCGGAAUUAUUGGGCGUAAAGAGCUCGUAGGCGGUUUGUCGCGUCUGCUGUGAAAUCCGGAGGCUCA